CCUACGGGAGACAGCAGUGAGGAAUAUUGGUCAAUGGACGCAAGUCUGAACCAGCCAUGCCGCGUGCAGGAUGACGGCUCUAUGAGUUGUAAACUGCUUUUGUACGAGGGUAAACCCCGAUACGUAUAUCGGGUUGAAAGUAUCGUACGAAUAAGGAUCGGCUAACUACGUGCCAGCAGCCGCGGUAAUACGGAGGAUCCGAGCGUUAUCCGGAUUUAUUGGGUUUAAAGGGUGGGUAGGCGGUUUGAUAAGUUAGAGGUGAAAUGUCGGGGCUCAACCCCGGAACUGCAUUUAAUACUGUUAGUCUAGAGAAUAGUUGAGGUAGGCGGAAUGUAUGGUGUAGCGGUGAAAUGCGUAGAGAUCAUACGGAACACCGGUGGCGAAGGCGGCUUACCAAACUAUAUCUGACGUUGAGGCACGAAAGCGUGGGUAGCAAACAGGAUUAGAUACCCGUGUAGUC
rnacentral:rRNA from 1 species